UAUCUGACUACCUUAAUUCCUUCACAGAUUCUUAGGAAGAUCUGUUGGUACUUGGUGCUAGCACCUCAUGAUCCUAUGCAAUCGAGCCUUCUCAAUGCUACACUAGAGGAUAAAAACCUUUCAGAAAUCCCAAAUUUCAGGUUAUUGCUGAAGCAGCUGGUUACCAUGGAGGUCAUCUAGUGGACAGCAUUGUGGGAAUUCUCUAAGCACGAAUUUGAAAACGAGAAGAAUCUGCUAGGAGGAGCUUUGGGUGCCAAAGCUGCAGAAGAUUUGAAGCUGAGAAUAAUUGAACAUGUACUGCUUACUUUGUGUAUGGCCUAUAGUUGUAGUUAUUUUGCUUUAUGCUUGUCCACUAAAUCUGACUUUUUGCUCUGCUCCGAAUAUCUUGGUUGUGUCUAAGUACUAUUCGAGGGUUACCAUAAAGAGGCUUGCUGAUCUGCUCUGCCUGAGUUUGCAGGAGGCAGAGAAGCAUCUUUCAGACAUGGUGAACU